ACCACCUAUGGAGGCAGCAGUGGGGAAUAUUGCACAAUGGGGGAAACCCUGAUGCAGCAACGCCGCGUGAAGGAAGACGGUUUUCGGAUUGUAAACUUCUGUUCUUAGUGAAGAAAAAUGACGGUAGCUAAGGAGCAAGCCACGGCUAACUACGUGCCAGCAGCCGCGGUAAUACGUAGGUGGUAAGCGUUGUCCGGAAUUACUGGGUGUAAAGGGAGCGCAGGCGGGAAGCCAAGUCAGCUGUGAAAACUACGGGCUUAACUUGUAGACUGCAGUUGAAACUGGUUUUCUUGAGUGAAGUAGAG
rnacentral:rRNA from 1 species